UACGGAGGGUGCAAGCGUUGUUCGGAAUCACUGGGCGUAAAGGGUGCGUAGGCGUCCUGGAAAGUUACGGUUGAAAUCUCCUUGCUCAACAAGGAAACUGGCCGUAAAACUAUCAGGAUUGAGUACAUUUGAAGCGGGCGGAAUGUGUCAUGUAGCGGUGAAAUGCUUAGAUAUGACACAGAACACCAAUUGCGAAGGCAGCUCGCUAAACUGUAACUGACGCUGAGGCACGAAAGCGUGGGGAUCAAACAGG
rnacentral:rRNA from 1 species